rnacentral:lncRNA from 1 species
AUGUUUAUCUUAUAUGGAUCGAAAGUAGUAAAGGCUUUGGACAAAUGUCGAAUUCAAUUGAAGAGGAUUGCAAAUAGAUGAACUUAUUCAUACUAGGUUGUGCCCUUAAGUUGAUAACCUUUCUCUAUGCUUCUUGCGUUGAACAUGUGUUGAUUAGCUAGCUUUCUAGACUUUGAUUACAUGUUUAAUAGGACUGAUCUAGGUGCUUUCAUUUAGAUUAAUUAGUAAAUGAAAGUAAAAUAUGGGUAAUCAUUUGCUUCGAAUAUUUCACAUGAUCAACUUCUUUCUCAUGACUUAGAUGAUCAAUUAUAGGAUGUGAAUAAUCAUAUGGAAUUGGUUUUGAUCUUUGUUUCUUACGUUUCAUUCUUGUACAUGUGUUUUUAUAUUUUCUUUAUUUUUUUUAGUUUAAUUUUUGA